CACGUAGGCACCAAGCGUUAUCCGGAUUUAUUGGGCGUAAAGAGCUCGUAGGCGGUUCAGUAAGUCAGGUGUGAAAUCUUUGGGCUUAACCCAAAGCGUGCACUUGAUACUGCUGUGACUUGAGUUCGGUAGGGGAGUGGGGAAUUCCUAGUGUAGCGGUGAAAUGCGCAGAUAUUAGGAGGAACACCGGUGGCGAAGGCGCCACUUUGGGCCGAAACUGACGCUGAGGAGCGAAAGCGUGGGUAGCAAACAGG
rnacentral:rRNA from 1 species